UUUGUUUUGAGAUCGGAUUUUAAUGUAUGUGUCAUCAAAACAGUGUAACUGUUAUCAUUUCUUAACAUUUUAGGGCAGAAAAAGACAUGGUCUUUACAAACACUAGUCCCCAAGCUCACGCACGUGUUUUACUGGAUUGCUUCUUCCUCAGACAAGAUGUUCUCAGCAUAAACACCUAGGAAUCUCCUGCUUUUGCUGUCUCACUGCCUUCUGCAGGACUUGUGGAGAGCUAUAACAUCACCUGCCCCGUCCAACUCACCGAGGAGCCGCUCGCAGCGGUCCCAACGCGGUUCCCGGCCACUCUUAACGUGGUCCCGGUGCCGCUUCCCGCCUCCAUGUCCGGCCC
rnacentral:lncRNA from 1 species